UGGGGAAUCUUCCACAAUGGGUGCAAACCUGAUGGAGCAAUGCCGCGUGAGUGAAGAAGGUCUUCGGAUCGUAAAGCUCUGUUGUUAGAGAAGAACACGUGCUAGGUAACUACUAGCGCCUUGACGGUAUCUAACCAGAAAGUCACGGCUAACUACGUGCCAGCAGCCGCGGUAAUACGUAGGUGACAAGCGUUGUCCGGAUUUAUUGGGCGUAAAGGGAGCGCAGGCGGUCUGUUUAGUCUAAUGUGAAAGNNCACGGCUUAACCGUGGAACGGCAUUGGAAACUGACGGACUUGAAUGUAGAAGAGGAAAAUGGAAUUCCAAGUGUAGCGGUGGAAUGCGUAGAUAUUUGGAGGAACACCAGUGGCGAAGGCGAUUUUCUGGUCUAACAUUGACGCUGAGGCUCGAAAGCGUGGGGAGCGAACAGGAUUAGAUACCCUGGUAGUCCACGCCGUAAACGAUGAGUGCUAAGUGUUGGGGGCUUUCCGGCCCUCGGUGCUGGAGCUAACGUAUUAAGCACUCCGCCUGGGGAUUACGACCGCAAGGUUG
rnacentral:rRNA from 1 species